rnacentral:rRNA from 1 species
UACGUAGGGGGCUAGCGUUGUCCGGAAUCAUUGGGCGUAAAGCGCGCGUAGGCGGCCCGGUAAGUCCGCUGUAAAAGUCAAAGGCUCAACCUUUGAAUGUCAGUGGAUACUGCCGGGCUAGAGUCCGGAAGAGGCGAGUGGAACUCCUGGUGUAGCGGUGGAAUGCGCAGAUAUCAGGAAGAACACCGACGGCGAAGGCAGCUCGCUGGGACGGUACUGACGCUGAGGCGCGAAAGCUAGGGGAGCAAACGGG